rnacentral:rRNA from 1 species
GAUGAACGCUGGCGGCGUGCCUAAUACAUGCAAGUCGAGCGAAUGGAUUAAGAGCUUGCUCUUAUGAAGUUAGCGGCGGACGGGUGGGUAACACGUGGGUAACCUGCCCAUAAGACUGGGAUGACUCCGGGAAACCGGGGCUAAUACGGGAUAACAUUUUGAACCGCAUGGUUCGAAAUUGGAAGGCGGCUUCGGCUGUCACUUAUGGAUGGACCCGCGUCGCAUUAGCUAGUUGGUGAGGUAACGGCUCACCAAGGCAACGAUGCGUAGCCGACCGGAGAGGGGGAUCGGCCACACUGGGACUGAGACACGGCCCAGACUCCUACGGGAGGCAGCAGUAGGGAAUCUUCCGCAAUGGACGAAAGUCUGACGGAGCAACGCCGCGUGAGUGAUGAAGGCUUUCGGGUCGUAAAACUCUGUUGUUAGGGAAGAACAAGUGCUAGUUGAAUAAGCUGGCACCUUGACGGUACCUAACCAGAAAGCCACGGCUAACUACGUGCCAGCAGCCGCCGUAA